GGCUCUCAUUUACGGGGGGCCUGGAACUGAUUUCAGCUGAAUUGAUUCCACUUUAAUGGGUGGCAGUCCUUUUAGGUCAGUUAAUUUGUUUAUGCCAUAAGCUUCCUUACUUCGAUUUCCUGUGGCAUUUUUAUGCUACACACACUUACUUUCCAGUUUCUUACUUUGGAGUUUAGAAGGGAAUAUUUAUUUUCUUUCCUUCAGAGGUUUCAUUUCCUUUCUCGCUUCCUUCAUUCUACUUGAUCCUCAACUACCUUCAUUCCAUUUUGUUAUGGACCAGUUUCUUUGGUGACAAAGGAUACUCUAUUUCUUCCAUUGCCAAUUGUUUUUUUACCUUAUCUUUUACCAGUUAAUGUUUUUUCCAAGUCUUCUCAUGGUGUAUGGUUCUGUUAGUAACCUGGGGAAUGAUUUUUUAUAGUCUUCCAACCCAGUUAUUGCACUUCUAAUUUUGUAAAAAUUCUUUUUUUUAUUGAGUUUUUAUUCCAGGGAAAUGAAAUUGAUUUGGUCUUUUGAGGUUUUGGUGCAAUGAAUCUUUUGAGGCUCAGUCUUUUAAGGUUUCGUUGGAAGGGAAUCUCUGAGGAUCAUACAUUCAUGGAUUUCGAAGCUUUGUGAAAGUACUUCUUGAAUAUGUUUUUGUGGAUAAACAGGUCUUUUGGUUGGAUUUUUGUGUGGUUUAUGGGCUUCUUUGUGGUGUAUAAUUUACUAAGUGUUGUUACCGGUCUUGCAAUAGGCAUAAGUUAUGUUGGAAUUUUAUUUAUGUGACAUUUCAAUGAGAACAUGAGCGUGAGAAAAUCAUGGAUUGGCAAAACUGCAUAGCAUGAAUGAUUGGAUAUGACUAGAAAAAUCUUGUGUAAUGUUACCUGUUGCUGUUUUGCAUUUUCUUCUGUCAAGUUAGUAACUUAAAUCUUUUUUCAGUGAGCAUGACAAUCUUAAGAGAUUGAGAUUGUUUGCUUUUCAAGUUAUUCGUUUCUUCCUGCCGAAAAUAGUGUGCACUUUCCAAGCAUUCUCCUUGUCUUAUGCAUUUAGUGCAUCCUCUUGUUCCAGUGCAUCUAUGGUGACCAUUCUUAAAAGUAUGUGCUAUGUAUUGCCAAAAGCCCACUUACAUGAAAAACUUUGCUGUAAAGCUGCAUUUAUGUAUUCAAGAGCUUGUCUAUUGCUGUUCUUAGUUGUGCUUGACUAGUGUGACUAGAGUCGUGUUUGUCAAAGUGAAAACCUUUUAAAGUCUAAUGUAAUGUACUGCUUUGGAGCAUUAAUGUUAUAAAUUUUCUCUCUUUUGCAUGUUUCUUUUGGCUGGUCAAAUGAACUUUAUCAUUGUUAGCUCUGAAGUUUUGAUCAAUGGAUGAGUAAACAUUUAUAUACCUUAGAAGAAAGGUGUACUACAGAGAAGUGCAGUUGUGCCUCUUACUUAGUGUACUAUUGGUGUCUCAAUACUUCAUUUGGCAUUCCAGUGUGCGAUGCAGUAGCUGUCUUAUCAAACUGAUAAUAUCUCUGUAACUCACAGUUUCCUUUUAAUUUCUGGUCAUUCUUACCUUUAUCCAUCAUUUGCAGCUCCCAAUCAGAAUACUCAAGGAAAUGAGGGUGAAAGUGAUCCAAAUAAUACAACAGUGCGUAGCUUGUCUUAGUUAUGGAUUUACUUUUGUUACCUGUGUGGUAGUUAAGACUGUUUCUUGUAAGUGCAGAUAUUUGUGGGUGGAUUGGACCCAAGUGUGACAGAUGAGAAUUUGAGGCAAGUAUUUGGCCGAUAUGGGGAAGUUGUACAUGUAAAGAUACCUGCAGGGAAGCGAUGUGGUUUUGUUCAAUUCACUAAUAGGUAACCUUUAAAUUUUGGGGGAAAAAUGUUGUGGUAAAUUUUGCAGUUCGUGAUGGCCUAUUUCUUUUGAUUUUUCUGUGCUAGGGCAUGUGCGGAACAAGCAUUGGAAAGCUUGAAUGGUACACAGUUGGGAUUACAAAGUAUUCGACUUUCAUGGGGGCGUAGUCCUUCCAACAAGCAGGUUUGGGCCAUCUUUCUGUCUCUUGGUACGGUUGAUAGUUGCAUAUAAUUGCAUAUCUUACUUUUCCUUGAUUUUGGACAGUCGGAUCAACCCCCGUGGAAUGGUGGAUGCUAUGGUUAUACACAAGGUUAUGAUGCAUAUGCAUAUGCUCCACCUCCGCAAGACCCAAAUGUAUAUUAUGGAGGUUACCCUGGAUAUACAAAUUACCAACAGCCGCAGCAGGUAGGAGAAUGCGAAAUGUUUUUAUGCGUUUUUUGUUUGUUGCUGAAUUAACCAGCAAGGGUGUUACUUUUUUAGUUGGUUUUGUUGGUUCAGGAAGUGAUGCAAACGUCCCUGGUUCUUGUCCUCCUUUGUUGAAUUUUUUUAGAUAGAUGAGCAACUGAAAUUCCUUGUGCUAAUAUUUGCAGUGAUCUAUUGUUGCAAGUUGCAAGCCUUGGCAGUCUACGCAACUUGGUAUAUGAAAGCCUCAGAGAUUGUUCAGGGUAUUUGCUUGCUAUUCACGCUCGUAACAUGUCCAAUCAAGAGAGUUGCGGUAUUUGGCUGAAUGAUAGUUUGCCGUUAUGGGAGGGCUAAGAACCAUAUGUGCUCUUAUAUAUUUCGUUACUUUAUGACUCUCCAUCAAUUUGGGAGCUGUUGGGGCGGGCGGGCUUGUUUCAUGGUGAUGAAGGUUUACAGUAUUGUUAUUAUGUCGAGGAUUUUGACUGGUUUAUCUCUAAUAGUGACGCUUAUAAUGCUUGCCAUCCUAAAUCUAGAAUUAUUGGUUUAAGUAUUGGUGUUUGUGGCUCUCCAAUGUCGUGUGUCACUGUCUGUUUGGAUUCAUGUCUUUCUCAAAAACUUGUAUUCGAAGUGUUAAAACACCCCAAAUGUAUUCCAAAUCUGCAAUACAACACUCCAAAUAUAUUUGAAAUAUACCUAUAACAUAAACACCAAAAAUUAACUGAAAAAGAAUCCACCACUUGUUUCUUCCACCUCCACCGUGACUGUACCUCCCCUUUCCCCCCCCCCCUUCGGGCCCCCCCUUCAUCCUUAGCUCCUCGUAAUAAUCCCGAUCCCUACCAUGUCCCUCCCUUCCUCCUUUUACCUCCUCAUCUCCUAUUCCUCUCUUUUUUAUGGCGCUAUCAUCUUUUCCUUCUCUUUUCUUUUUCCGCAUACCCCUUGUUCUCCCCUUUUCCUUUCCUAGAUGACUAGAUUCGAUUGCUGGGGAGGAGAGAAGGAAGUGGGGGAAAAAGGGAGACCAAGUGGAAGAAGGUGAAGAGAGGAAAUGGAGGAGGAGGAGGAAGCAGGAAGCAGGAAGCAGGAAGGGAAGUAGUGUUGAUGGAGGAGAGUGAGAUGGUAGAGGGGCACGAGAAGGGAGAUGAUGUUGGGUGGGAGGGAGGAGGGAAAGGAAGGAAGGUGGGGAUAAUUCUUAAAUUUUUUAGAAACAUCUCAAAAAUUUAAAAUUGAAAAAAAUGUCACAAUAUAUCCUUUCCUUACUCUUACCUAUACUAAAAGCGGGAGUUUGCAAUUUGAGUUCAAUUGAUUUGGUCCGCUUAUCAGGCUUGUGAUUGGUUAUUGCGAGUCCGAUUAUUCGUCACCAUUUUAUAUCGGAAUCGGACCUGGCAUAACGACAUAGUCACCGCCCAUCUUGAAAUGCACCGUGAAGAUUUUUUGGUAUCAUAUACGAUAUAUGAGGCUGCAAAUGAAUUGAGUCGAGUCGAGUUUUGACUUAAUUAAAACGAGUUUUGAUCUCAAUUUAAUUUUUCCAAACUUGAAUUCGAAUUCGAACUUGACGAACUCUCAAUAUAAAACUCGAGCUCGAUUUAAAAAAAAAUAAAUAUAAUUAUUUAUUUUUUUUUAAAUGCACCGUGAAGAUUUUUUGGUAUCAUAAAUGAGGUUGCAAAUGAAUCGAGUCGAGUCGAGUUUUGACUUAAUUAAAACGAGUCUUGAUCUCAAUUUAAUUUUCCCAAACUCGAAUUCGAAUUCGAACUUGACGAGCUCUCAAUGUAAAACUCGAGCUCGAUUUAAAAAAAAUAAAUAUAAUUAUUUAUUUUUUAAAAAAUAUAUAAAAUAAUAAUUUUUCUUAACAUAUAAUAAAGUAUUAGGGAUACAUAUGUAAUUUUAUUAUUAAAAUAAUAUAUAUAUAUAUCUUUACUAUACUAAAAGCGUCAGUUGGCUUAGCUACAGUGAAAAUGGGCCGGUUAUAGCGUGAUUUGUGUGAGCUUGAGGGGCAGUUUGGUCUUUUGCCAUUCAGUGGUGUGGCUUUGCUAUCCGCGUGGCUUUGUUAUGGGCACUGAAUAGGGAGCCGCCGAAUACACCAGCUACGCCUAACAUGUGAAAUGAGAAAUUCCAUUUCAACGAAAAUUUUGCCACUUUGGAUACAUUGAGCCCAACAGAGAUAGAGAGAGCGAGAGAUGGUCUGCACUCGUGGCAUCUACCUUUUGACUUUGAUUUUCAAACCCUCAUCUUACCUGGCCUAACAUUUUCAGUAUAGAUUGUAGAAGAAACAACUUACCAUGUUGGACGAAAUUCGUACUCAUUUUUCGUAGCCAUUUUGUAUGAUAAAAUAUUCAAUAAAAUUUAAAACCGUUAUAAUGGCUCGAUACUAGAGGUGACAAAUCAACCCACCUAAUUAAAUUUACCUAUACCGGUCCAUGAAUAGAUGGUAUAAGUUCAAAAUUUUUGAAUUAAAUUUUUAUAUUAAUUUUUAUAGUACUUAGUUCAAAUUUUUAUAUUCUUAUUAUUCAAUUAUUAAAUAAUAGAUAAUUUUGUAACAUAGAGUAUAAAUGAAAAAAAAAUGGUAAUUAAAUUUAUUGAACAUUAUAAAUAAAUAUUUAAAACUAAUAAUGGGUACAAAGAGUGGUAUAAAUUGAUAACUUGUUUUGCAAAAAUAAAUUUAAACGAGUUUACCAAAAGUUAAAAUAAAUAAGUUGUAAAUGGGUAAUUGAGUUACACAAUUCAUUUUUUGACUUACCCAUUUAUACCUAUCUAAUUAAAUGAGUAUAAAUGAGUUAAUUUACUUAUACCCAUUACCCAUUUUAUUCAACCCAAAUUCGUACUCAUUUUUCGUAGCCAUUUUGUUGACAAUAUUAAUAAAACUCAAACCAAUUGUUAUAAUGGCUCGAUACUAGAGGUGACAAAUCAACCCACCUAAUUAAAUUUACCUAUAUCGGUCCAUGAAUAGAUGGUAUAAGUUCAAAAUUUUUGAAUUAAAUUUUUAUAUUAAUUUUUAUAGUACUUCGUUCAAAUUUUUAUAUUCUUAUUAUUCAAUUAUUACUAGAGGUGACAAAUCAACCCACCUAAUUAAAUUUACCUAUAUCGGUCCAUGAAUAGAUGGUAUAAGUUCAAAAUUUUUGAAUUAAAUUUUUAUAUUAAUUUUUAUAGUACUUAGUUCAAAUUUUUAUAUUCUUAUUAUUCAAUUAUUAAAUAAUAGAUAAUUUUGUAACAUAGAGUAUAAAUGAAAAAAAAUUGAUAAUUAAAUUUAUUGAACAUUAUAAAUAAAUAUUUAAAACUAAUAAUGGGUACAAAGAGUGGUAUAAAUUGAUAACUUGUUUUGCAAAAAUAAAUUUAAAUGAGUUUACCAAAAGUUAAAACAAAUAAGUUGUAAAUGGAUAAUUGAGUUACCCAAUUCAUUUUUUAACUUAUCCAUUUAUACCUAUCUAAUUAAAUGGGUAUAAAUGAGUUAAUUCACUUAUACCCAUUACCCAUUUUAUCCAACCCAAACCCACCCAAGUCACCCAUUUCAACACCUCUACUCCAUACUUUAUAUUCAAGCCCAACAUUUUUGUUUUCCCACUUUAGCUUUCUUGCUUUGUUUUACCUUGAGAAACAAGAAUUUUCAUGAUAAACUGAAUUUGUUCUUCACUACGAUUUCCCUUGUGUUCCAACAAAGGAACGUUUAACUUAAAAUAAAUAUUUCAACCAGGGGAAAAAAAAACCAGUUUAAAAACAACUAAUAUAACGGUUGAUAUAUACAUACACUGAUACAUCUAUACCUUCUAUACAAAAUGACUUUCUAAUUAUCGAAUGCAAUCAUAUUACCGAUUAUCAUCGUUUAACCUACUCCAUAAAAUUAAAUUAAAUUAACACAAGUUAGGGCAACCUCGCGCGUAGCGCGAGGCCUAAAAAACUAGUAUACUAAAAGUGCCCGUUGGAGUUGCUACAGUGCUCAUGGGCCGGUUAUCCGGUAAUUUUGAGCAACUUCAGUGGCAUUUUCAUAGGCAGGCCGGUUAUCCGGUAAUUUUGAGCAACUUCAGUGGCAUUUCAUAGGCAGAUAGAUUGGUUAUGCUGUAAAUUUCGACAAUUCCAGUGGUAUUUCAUAGGCAUUUAUUUGGGCUUGCCCUCUUGCUCCAGAGUUCAACGCUAGAAUUCUUUCCCCUCUCCCUCCAGCGGCAUUUUUUAGGAAGCAUAUAUGUGCCAUAUAUAAAACUUGAUGCCCUUUACGGUGUUGCAUUGUUAGUUCUUUCUUCUUUUUUUUUAAAAUUUUUUUUGCCUUUAUUAUAAAGGAUAAAAUGGAUUUAUUCUGUAACAAAAUAAUAAAACAACAAUUUUAUCAUAACUUCGAAUCUUCCCAUAUUUUUACGUUCAAUUUCUCCAUGUUUAUCUACUAUAUUUGACACACAUUUCUUCAAUUUUUCUUUAUUAACAUCACCCAAAUUAAGUCCAUGCACUUGUUUCCCCUAUAAUACUUCACUUUUAUAAGAGAAUUAUUAUUACAAAUAUUUUUAUUCUAAUUAGUUAUAUACACAUCUGAGUGCGCCUUACUCACUAUUAUGUAUAACAAGAAAAGAUUUUUUGAACAUGUUUGAACUAAUUCUUGAUAAGAAAUUUCAGAAAAGUAAUGUACUACCUAACCUUUAGUUUUAGAUACUUUUAUUGGUAUUUUUUUCAUUCAGAGUUUUAGCUCUCUUGCCUAUGUAAUCUUGAGAGAAAGCCAUCUGAAAGCAACAUAUUGGAUGUGUUUCUUUCUUCAAUUGAAGACCUGGAUUUGGUGGUUUUAUAAGGUGAAGUUUUCACACUCUCACCUAACUGAUCUUGUUGAAACUUAUUUCAUUCUUGAUUAGAUACAAAUAGUGUGUGCAUAAUUUUAAAAAUGAUCAGCGUCACCAUAUUUAUGAUAUUUGUAUGUACUUGUACAUUUUAAAUGAAUGCAUCAUUUAUUUAUAGUAUCAAGAAUUCGCAAGGAUCUUAAGCCAAAAACUGACUAUCUAAGAGAAAAUUACAAAUCAAAUGAGUAAACGAGUAACAACAAUAUUCAAUUUACCUAAAGUCAAAAUCUCCACAUUUAUUAACACCUAUCAUGUAUUAAAUAUAUAACCAAUUUACAUUAAUCCACUUACCUUCAUUUGAUCUUGAUUAACAUAUAGCCAGGGCAUCCUCACGCAUCGCGUGAGGUUGAAAAAACUAGUAUUGUUAUAAGAAAGUUUUUGAUACACGAUAUUAUAGUAAAUUUUUGAAAAAUAUCUUGAAAAGCACUUAAUUCAUAGCCCAAUGGUAGACCAAUUAUUAGUUUGGAUUUAUGGCUGGCCUUGAAAAUGUUCAAGAUGGGAUGGUGCAUUCCGAACCCUUGUCAACCGCUAACGUGCAAUUGAAAGCAAGAAAAGAAUACGCAUAGUUUUGGGAAAAUUGUAUAGGUUUCUUUAGGAUUUCCUUGAAUCACUGAUUACUACAUACAUUUAACAAUGGAAGUAAUUUGAUUGAAAUUGUUGCAAUUCAACUCUUAUUUCAUAAUCUAAAAUUGAAUUUCAAUUUAAGAGUAUGACAUUAAAAGGGGGUUAUAGUAUCUGUCGAUAUUUUGAUUUCAUUUCCAAAGUGGGAAAAAAGUAACUAGGGGAUGAUUUAAUUUUUAUCAUAGCGACACGGAUUAAGGGUCUCUCUAGUUGAUUCUAUCUAGUUCAAUCAUCUUGUUGGUGUAAUUCUUACAAUUUUGGAUGUAAAGUCUUGUAGAUUUAAUAUAAUCAUUAAUUAAUAUAUGAGUUGACACAACUCACGUUUACAUCAAAGUUAUAGCAUUUUACAUCAAAUGUAGUAUGCUUUCCACAACUGGCCGAGAGUGGAUACAAUUUUUUCUGGAGAAGCCCCCGACACCAGAUGCAUCAAACUUGGAAAGCUUCGUUUUGACUUUUGAGAGAAAGCUGCAAUGGAAAACAAAAUUUGUCGGGAGAUGAAAGUUGAGGUAUGAAGUUGAAUGUUUCCAAGGACCAGCGAUACUUGGCUGACAGACAAAUCCCUGUUGAAAGGCUUUGACAGUUGGUUGGUUGCACGACAAAGUUGCACGGAUGCACCGUAUAGGUUUAAAAUUCAGGCUCGUAAAUGAUUUUGGAGUACACAAAAGAAAAAGUCUGCAUUGGGGCAAAUCAAAGACAAAGUCAAUACGUUUUCCAGGAUCUCUAAUUUGAUGGCUAUCAUUGCGCAUGGAAAUACUGUACUUUCAACACAUGUUAUAUUUGUUAAGCAACGAUUUUCACAGCCUAUAUAUAUAUAUAUGUAUGUAUGUAUGUGUAUAUAUAUAUUCACCAGAGUUUUUCCUUGCCUCAUUUUGUCGAUCCAACUAGGCUUGCAACCCAGCUCAUAGUAACAUUACAAAAAGAAUAACAAGGCGAGUAUAUACCGUUGUAGCUGCAUUCACUGGUCUAGUUCAAGAACUGAGGUUGUUGAUAUUGCAUUUACAAAUUACAACUGGCCUGGCUUUCCAAGAAUUUUAACUUCUAUCCUCCCUGUUCCGUUCAUAGCCCAAUUCCAAUACUUAUUGCUUCACAAGUAUAGACGUAGUUUGCGCUUCUCAGUCGAAUCUUUUCAGAAAAUAUAGCAGAAGAUGGGUGUUCCGCUCAAAUUGAUGCCUAUUCUAGUCUCAUUUUUUGUGUUGGUGAUAGGCGCUUCUCAAGCAACGUCCCGCUUGUUGCAUGAAUAUGAUGAAGCGGCAAUGGUUGAAGAGCAUGAAAAGUGGAUGGCAACUUAUGGACGUGUUUACAAGGAUGAUGCAGAAAAGGCAAAGAGAUUCCAGAUAUUCAAGAAGAAUUUUGAGUAUAUCGAAUCUUUUAACAAAGCUGGAACUAAGACUUACAGCUUAAGCAUCAACCGGUUUGCUGAUAUGACCAAUGAGGAGUUCCGGGCUCGCAAUGGAUACAAACCAUUUACUUCAUCGAAGUCAGCAUCAUUUAGAUAUGAGAAUGUUACAGAUGUUCCAUCUAGCUUGGACUGGAGAGAGGAGGGAGCUGUUACUCCUGUCAAGAACCAAGGAGACUGUGGUAAGUCAACAAAUCUCUCUCUCUUCUCUAUAUUUGUUUUCUCCAAUAAGAUGCCAUUAUAUCAUAACAGGACGUGGGAUUCGCAGGAUUAGUUUAACAAAGUUUUGGACCCAAUCUACAGGAUGCUGCUGGGCGUUUUCAGCUGUGGCAGCUACGGAAGGAGUUCACCAGCUGAAAACAGGUGAGCUGAUUUCGCUAUCCGAGCAAGAACUGGUGGACUGCGAUACAGAUGAGGAUCGAGGCUGCGAAGGUGGUUUAAUGGACUCAGCAUUUAGCUUUAUCAUCAAAAACCAUGGCCUCACAACUGAAUCACAUUAUCCAUACUUGGGGAUUGAUGGCAGUUGCAGUGCAAAUGAGGAACAUCCCCCUGCAGCAACCAUCAAAAGUUAUGAAGACGUCCCUGAAAAUAACGAAUCAGCCCUCUUGAAAGCCGUGGCUAAUCAACCUGUAUCUGUUGCAAUCGAUGCUGGUGGACAAGAUUUUGCGUUCUACUCCAGUGGAGUGUUUACAGGAGAAUGCGGCACUCAUUUAGACCACGGUGCCACAGCCGUAGGCUAUGGAAUAAGCGAAGAUGGAAUCAAGUAUUGGUUAGUCAAGAACUCAUGGGGUGUUGAUUGGGGUGAAGAUGGAUACAUCAGAAUGCAAAGAGACAUUCAUGAUGUGCAAGGGCUUUGCGGGAUUGCCAUGAAUGCUUCUUAUCCUAUUGCUUGAAGUUUUCUUAGAUUCAAAUCAGUUUUUUUUUUUUUUGCCCUCAUUUUUAUGGCGUAUUUAUUGAAGUUUAGUUGCUUACGGAUUUUUUUGCCAUUCGAUGGUAGCAAUCUCUUGCAUUUGACCCUUAACUUAGUUUUGGAAAGUUGUACUCAACUUACAAGCUUGUAUUUGCAAGAAAUGAAGUCUGAAAGAAUUACCAAAAAAAAAGAAAAGAAAGGGCUAAAGUCACUUCCUUCUGUUCUAAAUCCACACAAUUGAUCAUUAUUAAGUUGCAUUUGUAAUGAAUCUUGUACACAACUUAAAAAUAUGGGCGCGGAGAAAACUAAUUAGUCAGCACAGAGCGAUAGGAUCUUUGAACUAUGCCUCAACAAUGAUGAUUAGUUCCAACGCCAAGAUCUCUUCAACCCUUUCCUUAACCCUCAUAAUCAAAUAGCAUUUGGUCCCCAUAUUGCAAAUGUAUCAUUAUGCUAAUCACCAACGCAAGAUUAAAUUUAAGGGAAAAUCGUUCAAAACGUCCUUCACAUUUUACAAAAUAACUUUUUUCAUCUCUCACUUUUAAAAAUAUAAUUUUACGUCCCUUACAAAUUCACAUUGAUCAAAUUUGGUUCUUACUUAAGUUUUCGACUAAUUUUUGAUCGAAAUUCACCACGUGCCUUGCAUGAGAUUAUACUUUAAGGACAAAAUUAUCAAAUUAAAUUUUAUAUAAUUCGAUUACAACUUGGCACACUCGAAAAAAAAAAAAAAAAAGAGCUUACGCGGAAUAAAAAAGAAAAAAUGGGUAUUGGCAUUUUUUGAGAUCCUAAAAAAAUAAAAAGGAAAACAAAAGUCCGAGAAUAAAAUCAUAAAUACAAAUAUAAAGUUCACAUGGAAUAAUGAAGACAAAAUUGUAAUCAGGACAAGAAGCGUUCCUAAAAGGACAUUAUCCACCAUUGAGCGGAAAUUUAUUACCUACUGCUUCCCUUGCUUCUCUCUCUCUUCUUACUGUUUAUUGGUUCUUGGUUCCUAUUAAUUAAUGGUGAGUUGAAGCAAGUAAAAGAUCACAAAGUUAUGAAGCCAAAUCUGAAGACACUAGUAUCUGUAGUUUCAUUGGCAGUUGUUUCAGUGAUAAAUGUAACUGCUACGACCGGCGAUUACAUUCGACCUGCACCUCGGAAAAAUCUUCAGUUUCCAUGGAGUCCGAAGCAUUCUUCUCAUCCCCAACAGGUAAGAAAAGGGAUCAACUGGAAGGCCUUUCUUUUGUCCUUUAAACUAGUUUGCUUUUUGUUUUAGUGAAUUUUGGAUAAAGGGUUGUUAGCAAGUCCACUGCCUGUGAUGCUAUCAUAACGGGAUCUUGUUAAUUUUCUUGAGCUUUGAUGAAAAGAGUGUGAAUUGUUUCAAAGAAAGUGUGUGUACGUUUAAGUCUUCAGAAAUUUGUUGUCAAUUGGUGUUUGUCAUGGUUAAAGCUCAAGCUUAUUCAUCGAAAGAUGAUAUCUUUGUGGGAGACUUGUGAUCAGCUCACCUAUAUUAGUUGCUAAAAAUUGGAAAACAAAAAAGCAUAUAAAAUAAAAUAAAGGGAGCAUUCAGAAAGUGUAGGAGAGCUUAUAUUACUGUUUUCUGUAGGUAUUAUAUGUAUAGAUGUACAUGCGUGCUUCUUACUUCCUUGCAUGUAGCCGUCAAUAGUAAGAUUCAAUGCUUCAAGAGGUCACUGAUGUUGGAUUUCCAGCGCAUAAUGCACUCUUAGUGUAGCCAAAAGUUUGUGGAUGCUGUUUAUUGUUGCAGGAUUAUUUUGAUUCUUUCUUGUCAGGUUUAUGUAUGAAGGCUGUAAAGCUGCUUGUUCUUACUCAGGGAUAUUUUCGUUGCACAAUUUGACUUUCCUCUUCGCUCUUGUUGAGUUGCUGUAGGUUCAUAUCUCUUUGGCCGGGGAUAAGCACAUGCGUGUCACAUGGAUCACAGAUGAUAAAUCUGCUCCUUCAGUUGUUAACUAUGGGAUGUCACCUGGAAAAUAUAACUCUGUUGCUCAAGGAGAAAGCACAUCGUACAGUUAUCUUCUGUACAGCUCAGGGAAGAUACACCAUACUGUCAUUGGGCCACUGGAGGAUGACACCAUAUACUACUAUCAAUGUGGUAGAGAGGGUCCUGAGUUCAAGUUCAAAACCCCACCAUCCCAGUUCCCAAUCACUCUGGCAGUGGCUGGUGAUUUGGGUCAAACUGGAUGGACCAAAUCAACUUUAGAUCACAUAGACCAGUGCAUAUACGAUGUGUAUAUGCUCCCUGGAGACCUUUCAUAUGCUGAUUACAUACAGAGUAGGUGGGAUACAUUUGGUGAGCUGGUGCAGCCACUUGCCAGUGCCAGGCCUUGGAUGGUGACACAAGGUAACCAUGAAAAGGAGCACAUACUACUAAUCAAAAAGUCGUUUGCUGCUUAUAAUGCAAGAUGGAAAAUGCCAUACGAGGAGAGUGGAUCCAGUUCAAACUUGUACUAUUCAUUUGAUGUUGCCGGUGCACAUAUCAUCAUGCUUGGUUCAUAUACAGAUUAUGAUGAAUUCUCGGACCAAUAUAGUUGGCUGAAGGUUUGAACAUCUGUAUGCUUUUGCGCGAAAUUGCCUUUCUUUCAAUAAUUUUCCCACUACUCUUCCAAAUAAGGUAAUUAAAGUAUCAGGGCCACGGGUAUGAUUAGUGUCUUUCUGAAAUGUCUGACAUAAUCAAGGGCAGAGAAAAGGAGAGAUUUAUUUUCAUUACUUAUCCAUAUCGGUUUUGAGGAAUUGCUUUGAGGUCGCUCUGAAAUUUAAAUGUCAACAUGAAGCAGUACCGCUGUAGACAUUUAUGCCUAAGUGAAUCAUUGAAUCACAACCUUUGAUUGUUCUGAUGAGCUAGAACACAUGGAAUGUAGAUUCAGCAAAAAAUUUUAUAUGAGUUGUAUUGCUUAUGUUUCUUUUAAAACAAAUCUAUUCCAGGAUCCAUAUCCAUUACAAUAAUUUCAGAUUACUAAUCAAGUUCUUUCCUUUGCUUGGAAAAGUUUAUGGUUUGUCUAUAAAUUUCGUUUCCUCUAAGAUAUUUUUAACAGAAAGUCAUGCUCUUAAAUGAUUCUAAAAGCGCAUAUGUCGAGUAAUAGAAUAGGACAUAUGUCUUCAAUGAUUAAUUUUCUGAACCAAGAAAACUUAGUAGUUCACUGAACCUUGAAUUACAGGCUGAUCUUGCGAAGGUAGAUCGUGAGAAGACACCUUGGCUACUUGCACUAUUCCAUGUGCCGUGGUACAACAGUAAUGAUGCUCAUCAAGGCGAAGGUGACAACAUGAUGGCAUCAAUGGAACCUUUACUAAACGCUGCCGGUGUGGAUAUCGUACUUGCUGGUCAUGUGCAUGCUUAUGAACGCUCGGUAUGCCCAAAUUGGUUUAACUUCUUAUUUGGUCCCUUGUUUCUGAGUGAUCUGGAACCUAACCUGAUUAUUUGGUUCCUUGUCCGCAGCAACGUGUUUACAAUGGCAGAUCGGAUUCUUGUGGUGCUGUACAUAUAACAAUUGGUGAUGGAGGAAAUAGAGAAGGUUUAGCACAUCGGUGAGUCUUCCUCUUGAUCCCCUUGCACACCUAAGAAAGAUUAAAGAGAGCCUCUUUCAUGUAGUAUGGCUCUUUGGGUCGAGUAACUGAAUUGCAUCGUGAACAAGAGUUAUUGGUUUAAUGAAGCGUCCUUUUUUCUUUUUCUCUCUCUCCCGGAAUACUUCAAUUCCGUCGUACAUUCGCAACAAAUAUUUUCUGCGUAUAGGAAAAAAAAAAAAGCUUUUGGGGAAGUUGAAAAGGGAGUGACAUUGAUCCAAGCAGGGAUGUUUUUUGAGUGCGUGCCUGUGUUUGUUUGUGUGUCUGUCACAGAGAGAGGGGAAAGGGGGAGGGUGGGGAGGACUGAAGGAGUUAAACUUGAUGUUUUGAAACAUUGAUAUCUCUGUUGAGUCAUUAUUGAGUUUUACAAGUCACUUUUUGCAAUUCAUGUUCUUCCCUUUUCCUCUCCACAUUGACGUCUAACUAGUCUUGGGAAAUGAUGACAGGUUCAAAGAUCAACAGCCUGAAUGGUCAGUGUUCCGCGAAGCAAGUUUUGGUCAUGGUGAGCUCAAGAUAGUGAAUUCCACUCAUGCUUUCUGGAGCUGGCAUAGGAAUGACGAUGAUGAACCAGUGAGGUCCGAUGAGGUCUGGAUAACCACUCUAAGGAGUUCGGGUUGCAUUCUUGAAGAGAGUCGUGACUUGAGAAAGCUCCUAUUGCAGCCGUAAAACUGUUCUCUCAAGGGGGUGCCUAAUUAAAUGAACUACUGCACAAACUCCUGAAGCAGUGUAUAAUACCAGCAUAGUUAGAGGAGUGCAAAUCUGCAAGUGUUGUACUGUUAUUAUGUAUUGUAAGGUAUUGUAAGAACGGUAUGUACCUUCCUUUCUUCUGGAAGUGGACUGAAUCCUUAAAUUGCUGUAUAAGAAGAUUACUUACGGUAUGUGAGUUUAAAUCCAGGGUGUUAUUUUCUGAAGGUGGAUUGAAUCCUUAAAAGUACUCGGCACUUUGAAUUUAAAACCAGGGCCCUUGGGCAAAGCAGGACAUUAACGUGAUCUUCAUUAAUCUGGGUCCUAUGUCUUCUGGAACUGUGGAAAGUUCGAGGAUAAGAUUUUUUCAAAGGUAAGAGAAACUAGAUAUCAGCUUUUGAGUACAGUUUGAUUGGUUCCUUCAAGGGAUCCGGACAGACAGCAAGAAAAUCCUCAUCGUGUUGCCGACAUCCAAAUUUGCCAUCGCCCUUGACAUAAAAGUGGUAACAAGUAUUACCAAAAGAAGAACUUGUUAUAACUGAUCAAGUACUGUACUUAGAAAUGGUGAAUAACGUGACGGACGGUACCAAGAUUUUGUUAGCUACUAGGAAGCGUCUGGAGCUGGUAUAUGCUGAGCUGCGCAAACUCUGUGUGUGUGUGUGUGAGAGAGAGAGAGAGACAACACACAGCAUCAGUAGUUGCAAUCUGUUUGAUAAAUAAAAUUUGGACGAAAAGAAAAAAGGUUUUUACGCAACAAUGGCAUCGUUCCACAGCGGGACACUAAAUACGAAUGACAAAAUGGGAGGCGAUUACUCUACAGUCUAAUAUAAAAUUGGUACUCCAAUCCGUUAGCUAUAUAGCCUAUAAGAUUCCACCUUUCUACCGAGUGCUUUCAAUUUUUAACCUUUCAAUCAUAUCAUGUGCCAACAACCUAGGACUCAAAACUGCGAAUAGGCAAAUUAUCAGCCAUAAAGUCAGGAAGACCUCAUCCCAGAAUAAAGCAGUCAGCUCAUGCUUCCCAAAUCUGGUUGGUGAUUAAUGGAGGAAAUGAAGCAAGAUGUAAACCCAAGUUAAUGAGCUCAACUCCAAGUAUACGACUUUCUACUUCUAGCAUCUUUUUAAGUUGCAAGUUCCACUGCACUUGAGCUGUAUAUCUGAUCAUUCCUUCCCCGCCAAAGUAUUAUUUGUUCGUCCUUGAACAAGAUAGGAGUACAAGGUACCAGAUCCUGCAGCAGUGUAAGCAAUGGGAAUGAGAAAUGCAGCAUCAGACGUACGGGUCAACCAAUUUGAGACAAACAAAUUCCAUGUAAGAUAGUUAUUGCUCUCCACAAGAGCCAUACCCGUAACUUAACUCCUAUCCUUUUGCAGUCACUAGUCCCCACGUGUGCACAAUCUAGUCUAACAACUUCCUUGGUCUUAAAUGCAUCUCUCACUCUGUCCACCACAUUCACAUACACACCAUUCCUGGCUGUAGAAAAGAAGCAAAAACUAUUACCAGCUCUACAUAACAAAUAAAGCAGCAUUUAAUUUCGCGAGUUUAACCAUGAGAAGAAAUGGGCAGACAGUAUAAAACUCCCGAAACUAAAUUCCCUUACUGAGUUUCAUUAUGGGAUCAGAGUUGAGCCCUUUGUUUCUCAUCUCCUUUGCCUCGUCAAAUGUCAGGCCAUCAGCAACAGGCUUCACAAGCUUUGGAUAUAUUGGUGCAUAUGGCUUCCACAGCAUCAAAGGAAUGACUGGUCUAUUUUUAGGAUCAUAGUUCCGACCUCUGUAUAGCAGGAGAACGUUACUCUGACGAUAAAUUAUCAUCCCACCAGAUUUAUCCUACAAGCGCACUGUGAUCCUGAUGAGCACAAACCACAGAUAGACUAAAUAAAGAAAUGAAACACUUUUAAGGUUUGAGAUUAACAGGUAGUUUACAGUUCCAAACCUCGAGAUGAAAACAAACAUUGUCCAUGUCAAGAGUUGGCACCCCUAAGCACUUAAUCCUCACAGCUUCAGCCCUCUUCCAAUGGUUAUGAAUGUCUUCCAGCAUGUUGUGAGUAACUCCUCCUUUCCCUUUAUCAAAUUAAGUAGAUGGAAAACCCAAUUCAUUAUUCUUUACAACUAGAGCCUAGCAUGAGUUUUCAUAAUAUGCAUAAUUCCCUCAUCCUGAAAACUAAACACAGUAUUAAGCAAGAAUCGCAACCCAAUAAAAUCUCAACUCCCAACUCAUCACCACUGAAUCCUAUCACGCACUAACAUAUUGAUAUUCAAUAACAGGGGGAGCCUAAAACAAACUUUUCAGCCUCUAAAAUCAUAUUCCAUAAUGCCUUGGCUGCUUAAAAGUUUUCCUCAAACAUAAGUUCAGAUACCUAAUAAAUUAUCAGCAAGAGAUAAAGCACUUGACCCAAGCUCAAAGGAACGUCCUUGGACUUGGUUUGAUUAGUAAAUCAAGCUCUAAUUACUUUUCCUAGCAAAAGAGUGAAUUUUUUUUUUUAAUCAUCAGAAUCAAAAGGAAACAAAAUUUGAAAAUACCUAGAUUGAUUUGGCGAGAACAAUCACUAUGCCUAUAUUUCUCCACGAGCUCUGCAAUCUCCUCCUCCAUUAAAGGUUCCCCAAGAACCUUAUUCCGUUGCUCGGCCAACUUCUCCGAAUCCACAGACUCUUCCGCCGGGGCCGACGUCCCGGUCCAUUUCCGGUCAAGCCGACCAGGACCAAAAGGAGAGAACCUCGGCGGUUCGCGAAACCCGAUUGGCUUCACAUCCGGGUUGGUCUCAGAGUAGGAGUACUUGAAAUCAAAGGGUAGGUCCGACUUUACCGGAAAAUUCAGGGCAUUUCGGGAAUCAAGCACAUUCGAGGAACCCUUUUUCCCUCCUCGAGCUUUCUUUUGUUCAUUUUUCUUCUUGUGUUGUCUCCCGGCCCGGGGUUUAAGGAGGGUUUUGGAGGUAGCUGAGAAUGGAGGGUCGUAAAUGUCGUCGUCUUCAUCAGAUAACGGAGAGUGGCUCAGAAGUCGAGAGACACAGAGCAUUGGGGAUGAGGGUAAGGGCGUGAUUUUGGGUAGGCCUCGAGAGGUUGUCCGACGCCACGCGAAGAGCUUCAGCAUCGACAAAUGCGAUGUCCGUCAGGUGUCGUCGCUCGCCAGGUGAAAUGAAGAAAUUAGUCUAGUCCACGCCACUCUUGGGUACAACCGUACAAGACUUGCUGCUGGCUUCUCUCCAAGUUUUGCCAAGGGUUUUGGGCCUGGUUGGAACUGGGCUUAAAAUUGGUACUUUCAUUAGAAUAGGACGUGGAUUUGGAUUGCACUUUGUUGAACUACUCAGUCGUUUAUCAAGCCUAAAUUUACAGUAUUCAGUGCUUUGCCUUAUUCAUGUUAAAUUUAAUCGAGAUUUGUGCUUACUGGAGUUCACUGUCUGAAUUUGUGAAGUUAGUUAACUCUAAUUCUUGUUAGGGGUUGGUCUAAUGAAGUAACAAAUUAAUGUUGGACAAGUUCCUAUCAAACUAAUCCCACCUCGAGGAUAAAUGUUGGUUGGUAUUCAAUUCCUAUUGUUAACAAAUAAGGUGCUUAAAGAUUGAACCUAAUUUACCAAAUUGGUUGCAUGGUUAAUGUUUUACAUUACUAAAUUAAAAAUUGCAGUGGAUACCUUAAUAGUUAUCAAGAUAUUUUGCCUUAUUGAGUUUCAUCUUGAUUAGGUGUGUAAACAAGUCUAAUUAAAUUGAACAUUUCAUUGUUUAAAUUUGUUUGAUUAUUUUAACGAGUUUGAAAUUUUGUUCAAACUUAACUUGUUUAUUCAUCAAAUCAAGUUUGAACGAGCUCUUUAUCGAGUUUGAAUGUUAUCGAAUAUGAAAAACUAUUUAAUCUUGACUUUGAUUAGUUGGCGAAUCAAACUCGAAUGAACUAUUACCAAGCUGAGUUCGAUUCGAUAGUUGGUUCAUCUUUCAGCCUUAAUCUUGACUUGCUAUGAGUUUUUAAUGUUAAAGGCAUGAGAUGGGGUUACUUAGUUAAAGAAGUUACUAGGCCUUUCCUCGAUGUAUAUACUAUAUAACAACACAUUAUUCUUCCGUGUAAUUUGAGAGGUAAUGUGCAGAAUAUGUAAAAGCAUAAAAUGCUGAACGCUAACUUAAAGAACACAAGAGGGCAAGAAACUGUCAAUUAGAUCCCAACAAUUUAAUGAAGAGUCCCAUUGUGAAUAUGGAAAACUGAAAUGAUGACAUCAGUGCUCAAGAUUGUGAAGGCUUUACAGAGAAUUUGCUCAAUCUUUCAUCUUUGCAUUGCCUCUGAUCUCCGACCAUGGAUUUAAAGACCUCUAGCAGACCAUCCAAUUUCUCAGGGUCUUCGCCCAAAGCCUUGAGUGCAUAUACAAUGCUCUCAAUAGUCGACAGACAACCGGUCUUUGGCUGAUGCCUCACUUCACUAUACAAGCUCAGCUCAUCUAAAUCCAAUUUCAAAUGAGGCAAAAGCUUCAACCAGGGAUUCUCAUUGUACAUUCUCUUGGCCUUAGCCCAUGUUCCAUCCAACACAAUCAAGUUCUUCACCUCGAAAUUAUUAGCCUCAAUCCUCACUGCUCUUUCACUAGGAAAAAGCAAUACUGAUCCGGGGGGAACCUUGAUUUCAAACUCCUGAAACUCCUCGUAUUCAUCAAUUCCAUGCAACUGCUUUCUCUGAAACUUAACUACACUGAACCCUUUUCCUAAAUCGUUACCAGCUAUUUGAGAAGCCAAUAGCUGAUCAAACUUGUUCUGUUUCUGCAUUUGGUUACAUAAAGAUGCAAUAGCGCCGUACUUCUCAAUAGUAAAAGCAACAACAGCAUCUCCUGAACAUCCAGAAACUGCUUCAGUUGGACUAAAAGCUGGUCCUGAGACACAUUCAGUGAUUAAAGAUUCACUAUUGGAAGCUGUAACACAACCAAAAUCAUUUCUUUUACUAAAAUCCUCAUCAGAGUCAGCAAGAUUAGUCCUUUUCUCUUCUGGCCUCUCCGUUAACUUGACGAAAUGAGAACCUUUCUCUGAUCCAUUACAUUGAAUAGGCCACUGAACAGAAUCCCACUUUCUUUUACCAUUUCCUAUUCCUCCAAAAUCAGUGAUAUUCCUAUCCCAAUGACUCGAACCCGUUUUAGAAUCCGGAUAGCUGAAGUCCAAGACGAACCGGCCUUCAAAAUUGACAUCAGAGACUGAAACUACGGUGAGAUUUCUUAGGCCAAGGGAGGCUAUUCUUGUAGAAUUCAGGGGGUGCUUUUUCUCUAGGCCGUGUUGGAGGAUUGUGACGGCGACAGAGUUCUCGAGCCUGGGGGCUUUUAAUCGGGUACAGAGGCAAAUUCGGGCGGGCUUGGAGCAUUUCGGGCACAUGGGUCUCUUUGAAGAACCCGAUUUAGUCGCCAUUGCUGCAGUUGAGGUUAGGGUUCCCUGAAUGUAGCUUGAACGAAUUUGUGACGGGUUGAGAAGAAAAUAAAGUAGAUGUAGCCUCCGUAGUGGCCAGGUUCGGAUCUGAAAAUGAACCUGCAUUAGUUCACGGAGCAGUCCAUACGAAACGGGUUAAGUAGACGGAGUCAGGUAAAGGCGUGGAACAGAUUUGGGCCUUCCUUGGGUUUGUUCCGUUAAUCAGCCUCUAGUUUACCAUCCUGCCCCUGUAGUAGGUAGCUGCAGGUAAAGUUUUGGGUUUUGGCUCUUGACCAAGAAAUAAAGCAACAGGCUCGUGCCCACCACAGCACCCCACUGGCCCCUCCAAAUUUCGCAGCUGAAUUUUUCAGAAAAACCACCCUCAGAUAAAUUUCUUUCUUGAUCUGGAGAAGAAAGGCCUCCAAUUUCUCGAAUUCUCUCAAUCUUACUUCCAAAACCCAGUUGGUGAAAAAUGCAUGACUUUUGCUUUACGAUUCCGUAUGGCCUGAUUCUUGUUGCUGGUGGCAUCGUCGGAUAUGCCAGGAAGGGAAGCACGGCUUCACUGGCUGGGGGUCUUGGCACGGGAUUAGUCCUCCUCUU
rnacentral:lncRNA from 1 species